CCUACGGGAGGCAGCAGUGAGGAAUCUUGCGCAAUGGGCGAAAGCCUGACGCAGCGACGCCGCGUGGAGGAUGAAGGUCUUCGGAUUGUAAACUCCUGUCGAGUGGGACGAAUGCCGUGAGGGUGAACAGCCCUCGCGGUUGACGGUACCGCUGGAGGAAGCCCCGGCUAACUCCGUGCCAGCAGCCGCGGUAAUACGGAGGGUGCAAGCGUUGUUCGGAAUUACUGGGCGUAAAGCGCGUGUAGGCGGCCUUGUAAGCCAGACGUGAAAGCCCCCGGCUUAACCGGGGAAGUGCGUCUGGAACUGCUUGGCUUGAGUACGGGAGAGGGAGGCGGAAUUCCCAGUGUAGAGGUGAAAUUCGUAGAUAUUGGGAGGAACACCGGUGGCGAAAGCGGCCUCCUGGACCGAUACUGACGCUAAGACGCGAAAGCGUGGGGAGCAAACAGGAUUAGAUACCCUGGUAGUCCACGCGGUAAACGAUGGGCACUAGGUGUGGGGGGUAUCCACUCCUCCCGUGCCGUAGCUAACGCAUUAAGUGCCCCGCCUGGGGAGUACGGCCGCAAGGUUAAAACUCAAAGGAAUUGACGG
rnacentral:rRNA from 1 species